rnacentral:lncRNA from 13 species
GACAGAGAGAAGAGCUUCUGUGAGAUUCUCGAAAGUUUCCAGGAGCCACUGGUCCACCCAGGGAUGCAGGCAGAGCAGGUGACGUGACACCCCUUCAUCCGAGUGAGGAAACCAAAGCUCAGAGAGGCUACAUGACUUCUCCAAGACGCCACAACUGGAGAUGGGCCGUGGUCACUGAGGGUUCCUCUCCGAGGGCUCUAAAACACCUCUCUGACUGAAGUGGACUGGGCUCAGGUAACCGACCCCUCCUGCUCCCCCACUUCCGCCUCCUUGGGAAGGGGGCGUGGCGGGAGAGAA